rnacentral:rRNA from 1 species
CGUAAACGAUGAGUGCUAAGUGUUGGAGGGUUCCGCCAUUCAGUGCUGCAGCUAACGCAUUAAGCACUCCGCUGGGGAGUACGACCGCAAGGUUGAAACUCAAAGGAAUUGACGGGGGCCCGCACAAGCGGUGGAGCAUGUGGUUUAAUUCGAAGCAACGCGAAGAACCUUACCAGGUCUUGACAUCCUUUGACCACUCUAGAGAUAGAGCUUUCCCUUCGGGGACAAAGUGACAGGUGGUGCAUGGUUGUCGUCAGCUCGUGUCGUGAGAUGUUGGGUUAAGUCCCGCAACGAGCGCAACCCUUAUUGUUAGUUGCCAUCAUUCAGUUGGGCACUCUAGCGAGACUGCCGGUGACAAACCGGAGGAAGGUGGGGAUGACGUCAAAUCAUCAUGCCCCUUAUGACCUGGGCUACACACGUGCUACAAUGGGAAGUACAACGAGUCGCUAGGCCGCGAGGUCAUGCAAAUCUCUUAAAGCUUCUCUCAGUUCGGAUUGCAGGCUGCAACUCGCCUGCAUGAAGCCGGAAUCGCUAGUAAUCGCGGAUCAGCACGCCGCGGUGAAUACGUUCCCGGGCCUUGUACACACCGCCCGUCACACCACGAAAGUUUGUAACACCCGAAGUCGGUGAGGUAACCUUUUGGAGCCAGCCGCCUAAGGUGGGAUAGAUGAUUGGGGUGAAGUCGUAACAAGGUAACCAAGGGCGAAUUCCAG